rnacentral:snoRNA from 1 species
UACCAUGAUGAUUUAUUCUAUUAUCACGACGGUCAACGCAGCUUCGGCUUUGACGACCAAAGCCUGUGACAGGGCUUAGAUCUGAUC